rnacentral:tRNA from 1 species
GGUAUAUAGCUCAGAGACAGAGCACUUGCCUAGCAUGGAUGAGGUCCUGGGUUCCAUCCCCAGCACCA